UCGGACGGGAUUGGAGAGCUUGCUUUCCUGAGAGUGGCGCACGGGUGCGUAACACGUAUGUAACCUACCUUUAUCAGGGGGAUAGCCUCUCGAAAGAGAGAUUAAGCCCGCAUAAUAUGAAGACACAGCAUUGUGAUUUCAUCAAAUAUUUAUAGGAUAGAGAUGGGCAUGCGGAACAUUAGCUAGUUGGUAAGGUAAUGGCUUACCAAGGCUACGAUGUUUAGGGGAUCUGAGAGGAUGACCCCCCACACUGGUACUGAGACACGGACCAGACUCCUACGGGAGGCAGCAGUAAGGAAUAUUGGUCAAUGGGCGGAAGCCUGAACCAGCCAUGCCGCGUGCAGGAAGACGGCCCUACGGGUUGUAAACUGCUUUUGUACCGGAAUAAACCCUGAUUCGUGAAUCAGGCUGAAUGUACGGUAAGAAUAAGGAUCGGCUAACUCCGUGCCAGCAGCCGCGGUAAUACGGAGGAUCCAAGCGUUAUCCGGAUUUAUUGGGUUUAAAGGGUGCGUAGGCGGCCUGUUAAGUCAGGGGUGAAAGACGGUAGCUCAACUAUCGCAGUGCCCUUGAUACUGAUGGGCUUGAAUGUACUAGAGGUAGGCGGAAUGUGACAAGUAGCGGUGAAAUGCAUAGAUAUGUCACAGAACACCAAUUGCGAAGGCAGCUUACUAUGGUAUGAUUGACGCUGAGGCACGAAAGCGUGGGGAUCAAACAGGAUUAGAUACCCUGGUAGUCCACGCCCUAAACGAUGAUUACUCGACAUUAGCGAUACACAGUUAGUGUCUGAGCGAAAGCAUUAAGUAAUC
rnacentral:rRNA from 1 species